UGUCCGUGCCUGUAACGGUGAUGACCCCUUUUUCGUGUGCGCCGAGCAUGUGAAGUGCUGGAGCUGGAGCGUGUGGGUAAGUGCUCGAGUGUCAGUGUGUGUGUAUUUGGGCGAGCAAGGUCACUACCUAUGCUUAGGUUGAAGAUGAAUCAAGUGAAUAUAUAUCAUUAGAUUGAUUCAAUUUGCCUCUUGAAUGUGUCUCCUGCUUCCUAGAGGCUUGCGGUCUCUGUCAUCUAAAAUUGCAUGGAAAAGCUUGAGCCUUUCGUCCGAAGGUUCUUGACAUAUCAAUUAUUGAUAGAGGAGCUAGAGGCAGUGAACUUGGAGAAGUUUAUCACGAAAUUAUUUUUGAAAUUUUCCUGUGCGCCCCUCAGAUGCUUCUUGCUGUGAUCCCGAACUUGACACAGGAAUUGCUUGUAUGUUCUCCAAAAAUUGUUGGUUGUUGAA